GAUAAACGCUAGCGGCAGGCUUAACACAUGCAAGUCAAGGGGCAGCAUAGAUUGUAGCAAUACAAUUGGUGGCGACCGGCGCACGGGUGCGUAACGCGUAUGCAACCUACCCGUCACAGGGGGAUAAUCCGGAGAAAUCUGGUCUAAUACCCCAUAACAUAUGGAUCGGCAUCGGUUCAUGUUGAAAUUUUCGGAGGUGACGGAUGGGCAUGCGUAGCAUUAGUUUGUUGGUGAGGUAACGGCUCACCAAGGCGACGAUGCUUAGGGGGACUGAGAGGUUUUCCCCCCACACUGGUACUGAGACACGGACCGGACUCCUACGGGAGGCAGUAGUGAGGAAUAUUGGUCAAUGGGCGCAAGCCUGAACCAGCCAUGCCGCGUGCAGGAUGACGGCUCUAUGAGUUGUAAACUGCUUUUGUACGAGGGUAAAGUGGGUUACGUGUAACCUUUUGAAAGUAUCGUACGAAUAAGGAUCGGCUAACUCCGUGCCAGCAGCCGCAGUAA
rnacentral:rRNA from 1 species